AACGAACGCUGGCGGCAUGCCUAACACAUGCAAGUCGAACGAGACCUUCGGGUCUAGUGGCGCACGGGUGCGUAACGCGUGGGAACCUGCCCUUAGGUUCGGAAUAACUCCCCGAAAGGGGUGCUAAUACCGGAUAAUGUCUUCGGACCAAAGAUUUAUCGCCUUUGGAUGUGCCCGCGUUGGAUUAGCUCGUUGGUAGGGUAAAAGCCUACCAAGGCGACGAUCCAUAGCUGGUCUGAGAGGAUGAUCAGCCACACUGGGACUGAGACACGGCCCAGACUCCUACGGGAGGCAGCAGUGGGGAAUAUUGGACAAUGGGCGAAAGCAUGAUCCAGCAAUGACGCGUGAGUGAUGAAGGCCGUAGGGUUGUAAAGCUCUUUUAACCGGGAUGAUAAUGACAGUACCGGGAGAAUAAGCUCCGGCUAACUCCGUG
rnacentral:rRNA from 1 species